rnacentral:lncRNA from 1 species
UCGUCUUCAAAACACAAAAGAUAAGGCAUCAGACAAUAAAAUCCUGGCCAUAUUAAAUGGGACAAUCUCAGGAGACUGUAAUUCUUGUCUUUUCUAUUUAGUUACCUUUUUUUAGUCCUCUGUUUCCAUUUCACUUCUCUGCUCCAAUAUCUCUGGUUCCCACUGACUCCAGGAUGGACUCCAAACCUCCCACUUUGCCUGGAAACCUUCAGAAUCUGGCUCCAACCCACCUAUUAUCUGAGGGUCAAGUCCUGCAUCAGAUUGUAUUUUCCAAUGUUGGCUGCAACAAGAUCUUGAUGUGACCUUGACAUUCCUCCCAUAGAGUGGUGGAGUCUACGUCCCCUCUCCUGGAGACUGAGUGGAGCUUUGUGACUGCUGCAGCCAUUGGAGUAUGGCAGAAGUGCUGUUAUGUCACUUAUGAGAUUGGAUCAUAAAAAUGCCACACACUUCCUUCCUCUCUUGGAAUGCUGAGGCCAUGUUGUGAGGAAGUCCAAUGAGCCCCUGUGGAGAGACCAUAUAGAAUGACUACUUUGAGAUGUUCCAGCUUACAGCCCUGCUCGGCCCUAGCCAACAGCCAGCAUCUUUCACCAGACAUAUGAGUGACGACCCUCCAGAUGAUUCCAGCUUCCAGCCAGUGAAUCACAUCUAGCUUUCAAGUCUUCCCAGCCGAGGCCCCAAGCAUUGUGAAGCAGAGCUCAGAAUGACCUCAUGUCUUUCUACCUGAAGCCUGCUAUACCAUUUGUUGCACACAACUUCUACAAUCUCUAUGGACUUUAUACAAUGUACUUAAUAAUGAAAAGCACUGAAGAGAGAGGAAGAAACAGGGAAAAGGGAGACCAAGUCAUAUCAGGAUUUGAAUUUGAAAAUCAUCCAGGAAAUCAGAUGAUGCCUGGAAGUGUAUUAACUAUCCUGAGCUGACAACAUGCCGACCCACUAAUGGAAAAUUGUGACUAACACACCUGCCAGGUUACUAGAUUUUUCCCUUCAUAGAUAUUUUCUUGGUGCAUGUUUGAAUGAAUGGAUGAUUAAUUGAUAAGAUUUUAAAAGAGUUCGGUUGACACCAAUCAUAACUGGAAGCAAAAGAGAUUCAUCUGAGUUCUUUCAAAUUAUGCUUGCCUGACACCUUCUCCACUUCAACUUGUUGAAAGGCCCAGGGUGAAUCACCUGCCUGCACAAUAUAACAAAGGGAACAGCACAUGCACCCAUGGGCCUCUGCUAAUCUCUGGGCUGACCUCUGUUAGCCCCAUGGUUAUUCUGGUCUAGACAGGCUUAUGCUGAGAAAUACUUUACAUUUUCUGAAGACAAGUGUUAUGUAAUUCUGGUGCUUAGAGAAUACUUAAAUGAUUCUUCCAAAUUGUGCUCCUAAUUUCUGAAUGUCAUCAAACGUCAAACUAGUAUUUUUUAGUUUUGUGUAAUACAAAAGUAUCUCUGUUUUGUAUGAUAUAAAAGUAUUUUUUAGUUUCGGAUAACUGAAAAAUACAAAAGUCAUUUUUAAUUAGUUACCUGUCAUUGUAAACAUUCAGUUCCUGUUCUUUGAAAAGAUUUGUCUCUGUAGUUCUUCAAACAUUUAUAAUAAUCCAAGGGGAGCUAGAAAAUGUCAGGCACAAGGAGAUGGAGGACGUCUAAGUUAGGGUGCCCAGGCUUUAGAGAGCAACUUCAUUUAUGUGUUAGUUUGACACUGUAUCUGAGAUGCAGAGCAAGUAUGAUGAAAGCUUUUAAAAAAAAAUCCAACCAGACAGAUCAGAUUGACAGCAGAGGUAAAAUGUGACCCUUGUGCAGUCUGAUAAGUAACAUUUCUUAAACUUGUCACAUAAAACAUUCUGUUAUGCUUCAGGCUGUUGAAAAUAAUUUCAUGCACAGGAGCAUAGUCACCUGAGGCAAUUCUGUUGUUCUGCAACAGCCUUAGGACAAAUGAACAGCUUGGAGGUGGAAAUUUUGGGUUAUCAUAUGAUUGUAAUCAUUACCCAGACUGAACAAGAGUGAUUCGGUAGAGUGAGAACGAUAGCAAUGUGGAUUAACCUACUUUCACUUUUUAAUGACUAUUUCUUCUACCCCAAAGAUCAAAGAAUAUUUGUCAUUGAGAAAAUUUCAGAUGUUCUUUAAAAGGCACAUUUCUUUUUUAAAAAGCUGACCCGUUUUGUGUUUAUUCCACAAGAUUUUCAAAUGUAUUCUGUUGUAUCAACAAAUUUGCUCAAUCAUCUAGGAGAAAGGCUAACAAAUAAUUCAAGGACUUCAAAUGCUUUUAUGCAGAAGAGGGAAAAUACUCAAAUCACUUAGGUAUUUGCAUACAGAUUUCCUGUGAUACUUCCAAACCUAAGUGCUUCCCUGAAUAUUGACCUUGAGAAAGGGGCUGGAAUUGAAGACACAGAGGGAGCCAGGGGAACUGACAAAAGCUCUUAUGCUUUCUCUCUUAUCUCAGAGAUAUGGCAUUUUACCUACGGAGAAGUGGUCAUUAUGAGACGUUUUUUCCCCCAUAUAUAGUUCAGUUGAAAUUAGUGAUAGGAGCAUAAUCAGAAUCAAUUAUUGAUUAUAGAAAGUUCAGCAUUAAAUGAAAGCAGGGAGAAGGUGAUUGAGCUGCUACAUUUCCCCAGUGUUUCCUUCUGUGUUUAUAGUAGUUACGGAAUCACCUCACACAUCCCCAGAAAGUUUAAGAUUGAUAAGAGGAAAAGACACUCAGGUGUUUUUUGUUUGUUUGAUUGAUUGAUUGAUUGAUUGAUUUUGCGACAGGGUUUCACUCUGUUGC